GCGUGUGUGUUUGUGUGUAGGGAACAGCUGUGCUGAUCAGAGCUGGUCUCAGGAAGAUCCCGCUGCUCUGACCGUGUUGCCCCUGACUGUCCUACAGGCAAACUGCACAGCACCUCCACACUGGUGAGCUUUGGAUGACCGCUGAGCGAUCUGGCCAUUCCUCGCGACGCGGGCAACGCCGCACAGCUUCUGAAAGUCGAAAGACGGAGACGUCCGUUUUAAAAAGAAGAGAAUGCAAAGAGGAUUUGGCCGGGGAGCUGUUCACGGCAUCCCUCCUCUUCCCCUCUCUUCCUCUGCUCCCCUUAUUUCCGUUCCUGUUACGAUGUCCAGCUGGUGGAGCAGCCUUGGCUUGUGGCCAGAUGCGAGCUGAUCAUUGGACUCCAAGCCAAAGACCAGUACUGCUUUGCCCUCAUUCAACAGCAAUGCUCAUGCCUCUUAUUGUAUUAAAAUUCAUAACCACUGAAAUACAUAUAUGUACUUAACAUACACACACACACACAAACGCAUAUAUUUCCCUCCCUUUGAAUGGCAGUACCUAACCACAGAGCAGUGUUCUGUGCAGGUAAAAAAGGGUCUUUGUGUUAUUUUUCUCUCUUCUCCUUUGCCAUUGAAACUGCGUGGGUCACGGAGGGGACGUCUGGUCCACCAGGUGUCCUGCUCAUCCCGGCUGUCAUCACCCUCCCACACACACAAUACCUGCUGAGCGGCUCCGCCCGAGCUCCACAGGUGUGUGAAGAACAAUGCUGAGCUCCUGGCACGCCAGGAAAGAGAGCCCGAGGGCCGAAGAGCACGGACCAGCCACCGGC